CAGUAGCCGCGGUAAUACAGAGGGUGCGAGCGUUAAUCGGAUUUACUGGGCGUAAAGCGUGCGUAGGCGGCUUUUUAAGUCGGAUGUGAAAUCCCUGAGCUUAACUUAGGAAUUGCAUUCGAUACUGGGAAGCUAGAGUAUGGGAGAGGAUGGUAGAAUUCCAGGUGUAGCGGUGAAAUGCGUGGAGAUCUGGAGGAAUACCGAUGGCGAAGGCAGCCAUCUGGCCUAAUACUGACGCUGAGGUACGAAAGCAUGGGGAGCAAACAGGAUUAGAUACCCCGGUAGUCCCUGUCUCUUAUAA
rnacentral:rRNA from 1 species